GGAGGGUGCAAGCGUUACCCGGAAUCAUUGGGCGUAAAGCGUGCGCAGGCGGAAUGUUAAGUCAGAUGUCAAAGACCACAGCUCAACUGUGGGCAGGUAUCUGAAACUGGCAAUCUAGAGUCUUGCAGAGGUAUGUGGAAUUCUGUGUGUAGGGGUAAAAUCCGUAGAUACACAGAGGAACAUCAAAAGCGAAGGCAGCAUACUGGGCAAGUACUGACGCUGUUGCACGAAAGCGUGGGUAGCGAACAGGAUUAGAUACCCUGGUAGUCCCACGCCCGUAAACUAUGGAUACUCGGUGUUGGAGGACUCGACCCCCUUCAGUGCCUAAGCUAACGCAUUAAGUAUCCCGCCUGGGGAGUACGGUCGCAAGAUUA
rnacentral:rRNA from 1 species